ensembl:lncRNA
CAAAGUCUGUCACGCAGCAGUAGUAAAUUCAUGCUGCUACGUGAGUCAGUAAAUUAUCUCGCCUAAAUUGGAAGCGGAUAAAUUUGAUAUUACUUUUCACUGUGCAAAGGGAUAUUUUGCGGCAUUCUGUGGUACGUAGUUUGGGGUAGAGAAAGAUGUGUGGGUGUGCAAGGAAGGGGCAGGGCCAGUAAGUUUGAGUAAGGAAGGGCGCAGGAUUAGGAGAGCCCUGCAAAACUUGUUGGAGUGUAAGGAUUCAUUGUUGUUGUCAAUGAUGAACGUAUGCUUAUUUCACUGGUCAGAUUUGUACGAAUGCAAUUACACCGGGCAGGUAUAGGGUAGAAUGAGUGUGCUGCAUUUCCAGUUUAGCCAGAAGACCCACAGAAGGGAGGAAACUCAUGGGUCAGUAAGGGAGGGCUAAAUUAGAGGUUAGCAUAUGCAAGUGUCUAGACAGCAAAUACAGACAUACUGCAAAAGUCAGUCUGUCAGGGAGUGGAGAGCGUAGAUUAAAAAGCCAUUUCAAAGGCAUGUUGCCUGGAUGGGGUAAUCAUGUGCUCAGGCUUUUUCAGUACAUAAGCAUAAGCUAAGUGAGGGAAGAGAUCAAAAAAGGACACCAAGAUUGACGCAGAUUCUGUAGCAGCUUAGACUGGAAUGGAACUUGAUAAAUUAAAAAUAGGUGGUUGUUCACACUUGUGUUUCCCAGAAAUGGCCACAGUCCCAUCUGUUUUUCACUCUCCAUCCAGUACCAUUGGAAUGCCUCAAAGAAAUGUUACAUAAAUACUGCUGACGUAGACGCGUUGUUAUACAGUUCUUCCAAAUCGAGUUCCUUGUUGCUUUCAGGCACACAAACUGGUCGCCAGAAAGCCUCGUCUGCUGUGCUGGAUUACCCACAGCUUGUUCUGCUUUGGUAUUAAUUGGGUUCUUUCAGGGCAGUGUUGAGAAACUUCCAACUGCAGUUCACUGGGAGGACCAUUUGAAACUGAGGGGUUGACUCAAAUCCCGGUCAAUGUUUCUCUUCCCAGAGCCAGAGGGCUCUGCCAGCCGAUGGGCUCAGUGUGUUUGUAUGGCCUGUAGGUGCAGUGUUUCCAUGAGAGCGCUGCAUUUUACUUUGGGGGAGGUUCCUGGGAUGCACUCCCUCACUAUAUUGGGGGGGGUCUGCAGCACAGCUGAGGUUUGUUUUUAUCCUUCCCAAGAAUUUAUCCUAGUCUGUUACCUUAGUUUACUACUCUGUUUAUUUUCAAACAUGCUGCUUUUUAUCAUGGUGAGCUCAUUCUAUAGGUGUCUUUUGGGUAUCCAAGGAGGUAAGGGAUGUGUAUUGUAUCAGGCUGGCAGCAGUGGGAGGUGCCAGGUGUGGG